CAACUUUAACAUUCUAAUGACCAGUAAUUAUCAAUGCAUCUUGAUUGCAUCUUUGAUCAAUUUCAGGCUGCAGAAGUUGUUUAAAAUCUUCAAUUUCUUUAUCUUUGGCAUUAGUGGUUGGUGCAUAAAUUUGAAUAGUCAUAUAAACUAGUCUUCCUUGUAAGUGUAUGGAUUUUAGCCUAUCAGUGACAACAUUGUACUUCAGGCUAGAUCUUGAAAUGUUCUCUUUGAUGAUAUGUAACGUCAUUCUUUUGACUCUGGUGGAAUAUCCAUGUUUGUAAGACUGCUCACAGACUGUUUUACCAGAGAGUUUUCUGGUACUGCAACAUCUACCACUAAUGUCUGUGAUCCCUUUGAAUUGGCAAAAUAAGAAUAGUGCUAUAGAUUUCUUCCAAAUACAGAAAACAUAAGUAUGAAAAUGUUCUUGCUGUUGAUUAUAUUCUUUACCAAUCUGUUUGUAUGGGAUUUUUGGUACUUCACUUGAAAAAUGAGUCCAAGGUACUGUGAUGUGAUUGUUUACUUUGUGUGGCCUUUCUAGCCAUGAUCUUAUAACAUCCACCCUGGUGCUUGGGCAGGACUGUGUGAUAGGGUAAUUGUGGCUCACCAAGGGGAUUGUUUAUUUUGCCUUCAAAGAGAACCAGUUCCAGAGCAAAGAGGAGGAUUCAACUCCCAUCAAGGAAGAACAGCCAAGAGCCGAGCAUAUAUUAUGGACCUGAGAUCCCUGCACUGAGAAGCUCCUAGAAGCAGGAGACUGAGAUAGAGAGAGGAAGCUGUAACCCUGAAGAUGCUUAAAUACAGACCAGAAGAGGAGUUUGGGGCUUGACACCUGACAUCUUAACACCAGUUCCUGUUUCUUGAGGAAGGAAGAGGUAAAAUAAAUCAGCGUUUGCUGUUUCCUUCUCCAUCCCCGGAAGUCCUGAUGAAGACCCUCUCAGGAGGGAAGAGGUAAAAAAGAAGGCAGUGUCUACUACGUCCUUUGCCAUGUGUGUCAGGAAAUCCUCACAAAGAGCCUCUCAGGUAAGGAGUGAUGGGAAAUGCCUUGGUUUACUCUUAAACUUUGCCCUUGAGGCAUUUUCUUUAUGGGGGCAUGUAAAAUGUUGUCCAUUCAAGGAAACACUGUAAUUCUUAUGUAGACUUUGUUUGUUGACAAGGAUUUAUUGCCAUAGCAAGGGUUCUGGAAAUGGGUUUAAUAUGCUGUGGGAUUGCUUUUGGAAGUUUGGAAAAGGCAACGGCCCACAUUCUAUGAAAUCGAAAUACCAGACCUACUGUGUCAGGUGUUGGAAGAGGGAAUAAAAGCCUCCAAUAUGUGGGCAUGUCUGAGUUAGUCUUCUAUAAGACCAUUUCUUGGAGGUCCUGAAGGACACCCAUUUCAUUAAAAGAAUAAGGAAUGUAGAGCUGAGGGGAGCACCAGCAACAUGGAGCUUACCAAUAUGUACCUUUGCAGGGGGUCCCUGGACGCCGCAAACAGUUAAGUGUUCUAUACUAGCUGAAAGUUUGGUGGUUUGAACCUACUCAAAAGCACCUCAGAAGACAGUCCUGACGAUCUGCUUUUAAAGGAUCACAGCCUUGAAAACCCUAUUGAACACUUCUACUAUGCCCACAUGGGGUGGUCAUGAGUCAGAAAUGACUUGAUGACAGCUAACAAGAACAAUUCUCUAUAGGCUCAGGUUUUAGUGGAGGCUGG